rnacentral:lncRNA from 1 species
AACCAUGAGUAGGUAGCACAAUGCAUGCCUUGCCGGCUGACAGUAGUUGUGAUGCGGCUCUACUACUCUACCAUGUGUUCCUACUACUAGCUCUAGUCGUGGAUGCUGGGUAGCUCCCUGUUUUCUCUGUUUUUAUGUAAUCCUAGAUAGAACCAUACAACUGUGGAUGACAAACACUGCAAUUUAAUCUAAAAUUGUCAUCAUGAUCCUAGCAAAUACUCCUCAAAUUACUGUAAAUUGUUGCACGAUUAGGGGCUAGUGUAGAUGCAAAAUAAGGUUGCACUUUUAGAGGAGAUAAGCCACUGAUGUUGGAUGCUUGGUAGUUGUCUUGUGUUGUGUGCAUGUCGGUACUAGCAGUAUGUCCGUGAGCAACAAGCAUACGAUUUGUGCAUAUGCUCUACUGUAUUGGCCUCAUGGGUCAUCGCUGAUUGACCAGGACUAUAGAUUAUUCCUUCAGCGUACUAUCGCUUUCUCAAGUCAACUCAAGCAACAAUUCAUGUGGCUCGCUCAAUCGGGUGGGCGGCAUAUUUAUUCAGUAUAUUCUCUGAAAUUGCAAGUUCUGAAGUGUAUCAUUUUUUUGUGCAGUCAGAGAGCUGAACGGGGCGAGGCUGGAGGCGUCGGUGAGGGCGUACGGUGGUGCCGGCCAGAGCAAGGUGUCCAACAAAUGGGUUAAGUCGAAUUAGCAUUUUGUACUAGCCAUCCCUGUUUCCUGCUUUUAUAUGUACACAAACUCGAACCUAAGUUAGGCCUUUGCAUUGUCAUGGUGGUCUCUGUGUGUGAUUCCGCAUGGUAAUACUGAUGCAUAAAACUUGGUUUGGUAUGGAAUUGGCAACCUGUUUAAGUUGUUAGUUUACUUGUGGAUUUUGACAUAGUGAUCCCUUAAUCCUUGUAGAGCAUUUUUUUUGUUCUGAACCUGACUGUUAUGUCAGUUUUCAUGUAACAACCUUGAUGUGCUAGUUUAUUUUAUUGCAAAGCUUGCCAUGCUAGGUGCAGAGCAUAAGGUGCCCUGCUUGUAUCGUGCUGAAUCUAGUUAGGCAGAGGAAUCCUUGCUAAUUCUGGAAAGUAUUUUGCUUUCACAUCCGAGUUUAAGAAAACUGGUAUUGAUCUUACAAGUGGCUCAAAACGUGAGACUGCCUGAUUCCAUUUUUAAGGUUGUCACUAACCUGGUAGUUUUAUUUGGUGAUGCAGUUUGUAAGUUAAAAUGAUGCCCAGGGUUCAGGACAUGUGUGAUUUCUCUUGACAUAGGUGCUCCUUCAUUGCCGCUGCCAUAUGCCAAAGCCGGCAAUGAACUCCUAGUAAGGCUUUGUUGACCCAACUUGUUACUGUAUGCAUUUGGUGCCAUGUAGUAUCAUAUGUAAGCUUCUUUUCUCCCCUCCAGGACCUUAUUCAGACAGCAGCCUCAAGGCUACCUAUCUCAUCAAAUGAACUAUUUAUCAUGCUCAACGAAGCAAGUGAGAACACAUUUCUUUGUACCAACGCAGCUCGUCUCACUAUUGUUUCUUACUUUGUUAGCUACGACAUAUAUUUCCCCCAGUUUUUCUAAUUCUUCUCUGAUUCAUGUAACAGGAUGACAGUGGAAGCCAUGUUGUUGUUUUGUUUGUUCCCAGCCCUGACUAUGGUCUUCGAGCGAGUCCGGCAUGUUGUUCAUCUGACUAUGUUCAUCCAGCGAGUCCAGUAUGUUCAUGACAGGAGCAGGUAGUUUGUGAUCACAUGGAAGGAGCUUGUAAAGCAGUACUGUAUUACAUGUAGAGCUUGUUACACUUGUAGAGCUUGUAAAGCAGUAUGGUCCUCUGUAUUGGAACGGAUAGAGCUUGUAUUAUGUGAUCUGGUUGCUCUUAUUUAAGUAUCAUGUGUGUUUUUGUCUCUGCCAAACAAAAUAAUGCUUGAAAUAUGAAGAAUAUGAGCCUGAUAGAUGGGACCC